GGACAGAUGGCCGAGCUGGUUAUGGCGCCAGGUUAAGGUCUAUCUUAACAGCAGUUUCCUGGUCUCGUAUGAGGCGUGGGUUCGAGUCCCACUCUGUUCA